GGAAGAAGCUAAUGGCAGCUACCGAGCCAGCAGGAAUCGGGGGCCCCGGACCUCAGCUUCCCAAUGCGUUUUGGUCACAUUUCCCUCUGUUCUCCUCAUUCUCAUACAACUGCAUUCAUGAAAACACAGAGGUUGGAAGAAGCAGGAAUUGCUGACCCCUGAUAAUCCAGGCCUGGAAACCCCAUCUGGAAUAGUCCCUACAGCCCUACAACAUGGAGAUUUGCUCAGCCUUCCACGAAAAGCAAGAUGUCGAGUGUGCGCUGGAACCGACCGGAUCAUCAAGCGCUGCCCGGAAGGUGCUUCGUCCAAAGCAGGGGCAUUACAUUACGAUUCAUCACGACUCUGUGUUUUGUUCAGUAUCCAUCGCUGCUCUAAAUACCACCUCGCUCAAACCUCCUCCCU